rnacentral:piRNA from 1 species
UUUGAGAUGAAGUUUCAUGCUUGUCAUCCA